CAGGUCUUGACAUCCCUUUGACCGGUCUAGAGAUAGACCUUUCCUUCGGGACAGAGGAGACAGGUGGUGCAUGGUUGUCGUCAGCUCGUGUCGUGAGAUGUUGGGUUAAGUCCCGCAACGAGCGCAACCCUUAUGCUUAGUUGCCAGCAGGUCAAGCUGGGCACUCUAAGCAGACUGCCGGUGACAAACCGGAGGAAGGUGGGGAUGACGUCAAAUCAUCAUGCCCCUUAUGACCUGGGCUACACACGUACUACGAUGGCCGGUACAACGGGAAGCGAAGCCGCGAGGUGGAGCCAAUCCUAGAAAAGCCGGUCUCAGUUCGGAUUGUAGGCUGCAACUCGCCUACA
rnacentral:rRNA from 1 species